UGUGCGACUCGAAAAUGCCGGACAUUCAGGCCGGUUGGGAAAAGGGUAUCGCCUACGCGCUGGCCGGUAUGGCGGGUACCAAUAUGAUUUAUGAAGCUG
rfam:Ahrensia sp. R2A130 contig00005, whole genome shotgun sequence.